GCCAGGCAUGGAGGUGCACACCUGUAAUCCCAGCCACUCAGGAAGCUGAGGCAGGAGGAUCACAAGUUCAAGGCCAGCCUCAGCAACUUAGUGAGACCCUGUCUCAA
rnacentral:sRNA from 1 species